ensembl:scaRNA
UAAGUCAGAAAGAGGAAAACAAAUACCAUAUGCUACCCGACCCUGACCUAAAGUAAGUUCCCAGCAGAGGUUUUUCCUGGGUUUUGAAUUUGCAGUAACAGGUGUGAACAUUCUAGCAGCAGUUUGAUGAUCAUGUAUGAUACUGCAAACAGGA